GAGGCAGCAGUAGGGAAUCUUCCGCAAUGGACGAAAGUCUGACGGAGCAACGCCGCGUGAGUGAUGAAGGUUUUCGGAUCGUAAAACUCUGUUGUUAGGGAAGAACAAGUACCGUUCGAAUAGGGCGGUACCUUGACGGUACCUAACCAGAAAGCCACGGCUAACUACGUGCCAGCAGCCGCGGUAAUACGUAGGUGGCAAGCGUUGUCCGGAAUUAUUGGGCGUAAAGCGCGCGCAGGCGGUUUCUUAAGUCUGAUGUGAAAGCCCCCGGCUCAACCGGGGAGGGUCAUUGGAAACUGGGGAACUUGAGUGCAGAAGAGGAGAGUGGAAUUCCACGUGUAGCGGUGAAAUGCGUAGAGAUGUGGAGGAACACCAGUGGCGAAGGCGACUCUCUGGUCUGUAACUGACGCUGAGGCGCGAAAGCGUGGGGAGCGAACAGGAUUAGAUACCCUGGUAGUCCACGCCGUAAACGAUGAGUGCUAAGUGUUAGAGGGUUUCCGCCCUUUAGUGCUGCAGCAAAUCGCAUUAAGCACUCCGCCUGGGGA
rnacentral:rRNA from 1 species